GUCUACGGCCGUGCUAUCCUGAACAUGCCCUAUCCCAUCUGAUCUUGGAAGCUAAGCAGGAUCGGGCUUGGUUAGUACUUGGAUAGGAGACCACCUAGGAAGACUAGGUGCUGUAGGCA
rnacentral:rRNA from 1 species